UUCCGGUUCCGGUUCCCACCUACAGGGUACCCAGAUUCGAAACCAUAAUCGGCAUCCGGAACCGAAUGAUAAAAAAAAAAAAGAGUAAAGCUCAGCUCCCUAUGUCUAAGACAGAAACUCUCGACUCCGACUGAAACUCUUGACUUCGUAAACGUAAACCUAAUCUGCUUAGAAGACAGAAACUCUCGACUCCGACUCCCUGUGUCUGUGGCUGCCCAGUCCCCUCCGUCUCUGACUCUCCUUCAAGCUCUCUAAGGCACCGCGCGAGGGUUUCAUUUUCUCUUCUCUUCUCCAAAACCCUAGCAGUCGGCAGUCGCUUCCUGGCCAUCCUCUGGUACGAAUCAUCCUCUGCGCGCUCUCUUCCUCGGCGGCGCCUCCUCUGGCCAUCCUCUGCUCCAUACAUCAAGGCGUACUUUAGGUGCGGAAGUGAGUUUCUUGGGCGUAAGGUGUUCGACGAAAUGGCCUCGAGAAAUCUCUACUCCUGGAACAAUGUGCUCUCCAGGUAUGCAAAGCUGGGUAGGAUGCGCCCCGAGAGAAAGAUGUUCAACAGAAUACCUAAGAGGGAUAUUGUUUCCUGGAACACAAUGUUGAUCAGGUAUGCAAAGGUUAGUGAUUGCGACGAAGCAUUAAGGUUCUAUAAGGAGUUUCUGACGUAGGGGAUGAGGCCCAACAAGUUCAGAUUCGCUAGCCUCUUGACCAUUGCGUGAAGCUGAGAGAAGUAGGACUUACUAGACAGGUUCAUGGCCAGGUUUUACUUCUUGGAUACUCGUUGAAUAUUGUGCUUUUAAGCUCGAUAGUUGAUGCUUAUACUAAAUGCGGGGAGAUGACUCUUAAAUUCUAUUGGGCUAUUGGGCUUACAUGGGCUUGGACUCAACUUUCAACUUAAAAGCUCGAGCUAAUAAGUUGUGAGAUUCAAUCCCAUAUAAACCACUCUAUUUUCUUUUAUGCUUCCGAUGUAGGAUUAACUUUUUUCAAUUAAUUUUUAUAUUCCCAACACUCACCAUCACGUGGCACCGUGUGGUCUUUUUCAUGAUUUGCCUACACGGGCUACGUGAACCUUAACUGUCCGCCCUCAAGAACUUACCCUCGAGCCGGUCUCUCACUUCUUCCGGACUCGGGCCUUAACUGCCUCGAGGUGGGCUACUUCUUCCACACUCGGGCAAGGGGAUCAACUACUAUGAGCCGGGCUUCUACUUCCGUUCUCAGACUUCACUGACGUGGUGUGGAUUCCUGCGCAUAUGCGCCCCCAGGAUCAUUACCAUGGGCUCCGAUACCAUCUUAAAUUCUAUUAGGCUUACAUGGGCUUGGACUCAACUUUCAACUUAAAAGCUCGAGCUGAUAAGUUAUGCGAGAAGAGUGUUUGAUGAGAUGGAAGUUAAAGAUGUCCUCGUGUGGACCACUUUGGUCUCAAGAUAUGCUAGGUCGGGCGAUAUAAACAGGGCAAGUGAGAUAUUUCACGAGAUGCCUGUGAAGAACCCCAUUUCCUGGACUGCUAUGAUUGCUAGGUACAUGAGGAAUGGUCUGAGCAACAUAGCACUCGAGUUGUUUAGUAGGAUGAUGGCCCUUUGGA